GAUAGAGAACCUGAGGAUAUACA
rnacentral:piRNA from 1 species